UGAGCAAUAGUAACAUUUUUUAUCCAAACGCUACGAAUACAUAUUAUUUUUUGUCAAACGGUAAUAUUUUAUUAGCGCUGAAAUGCCUUGCUCUUUUUCCCAAAAUCAACUCCCCCUCCCCAAAAUCCAUAAUUUAUUUCCCCGAACCUAUUCAGAGGAAGCGUAAACAAGCAGCUUCAGAAGCGGUAGAAGGAUUUAAUGUCUUUAAGAGUUCAAAAAGGCACUGGUUAUAAGCAAAGAUAACAAAACAGACGAUGGAGAAGAUAAUCUUUCUAGAGAAAAGAAGAAAAUAAACCUAAAAUUGGAGAUAUGGAUGUGAGUCUUAUUUAUUGCACAAUUUUGCUAAACUUGGAUUUAAAGAGCCAACACCAAUUCAACAACAGGCUAUUCCGGUUCUUCUAUCCGUAUUUGGCUCUUCUAGCAAAACAUCUCGUGUUGGCAAAAGCAGCGACCUCUGCACUUUAGACUUGUGUUGGAGAUUUGAUUUGCCAACUUGCAAUUGAUCAUGUGCCAUCCCUAGACGUGAAAAGGACAUUUCUGUUUACACUAUUGGGUUUGGUAUUAGUUGGUCCUACAUUGCACUUCUGGCUAAGUCGGAUAUAGAUGGCCUGCUAUAGGAUUGGAAGAGUUUAGUGAUUUCUUCGACUUCGAGUUGAUGAGACAUUAGUUGUCAAUCUAUUACUUCAAAUUAAUUCGGUGAGACACUGGAUGUCAAUUUACUUCGGGUUAACCGAUAAGACACUGGGUGUCAAAUUAUUACUUCGAAUUAUCCGAUGAGGCACUAGGUGCCAAACUAGUGUGUUUUGGUUGGAUCCGUGUAUCCGUCCAAAUCUGAGUCGUGUUAAUAGGAGUAAUUAAAUUAAAUGAUACUACGAUUGGUAUUGGGAAACAUUGAAUGUGAAAUGAAAAUGAGACACAUGGAUUGUGCAUCAUAUUGUGAAAAGCUAUUGAGAUAGCAAAUGAUGAUAAUUGAAUAUGUUAUGAAUAAUUCAUUUAGGAAUUGAUUAAUUGAAGGGCUAUUGUUAUUGUAUGAUUACAUGAGUAUGUUAUGUUAAUUUUUUUUAAAUAUUCGGAUUAUAGAAAUAA